AACGCAAAGUUUGAUGCGUCGCAACGGUAACAGGAAGCAGCUUGCUGCUUUGCUGACGAGUGGCGGACGGGUGAGUAAUGUCUGGGAAACUGCCUGAUGGAGGGGGAUAACUACUGGAAACGGUAGCUAAUACCGCAUAACGUCGCAAGACCAAAGAGGGGGACCUUCGGGCCUCUUGCCAUCGGAUGUGCCCAGAUGGGAUUAGCUAGUAGGUGGGGUAACGGCUCACCUAGGCGACGAUCCCUAGCUGGUCUGAGAGGAUGACCAGCCACACUGGAACUGAGACACGGUCCAGACUCCUACGGGAGGCAGCAGUGGGGAAUAUUGCACAAUGGGCGCAAGCCUGAUGCAGCCAUGCCGCGUGUAUGAAGAAGGCCUUCGGGUUGUAAAGUACUUUCAGCGGGGAGGAAGGGAGUAAAGUUAAUACCUUUGCUCAUUGACGUUACCCGCAAAAAAACCACCGGCUAACUCCGUGCCAGCAGCCGCGGUAAUACGGAGGGUGCAAGCGUUAAUCGGAAUUACUGGGCGUAAAGCGCACGCAGGCGGUUUGUUAAGUCAGAUGUGAAAUCCCCGGGCUCAACCUGGGAACUGCAUCUGAUACUGGCAAGCUUGAGUCUCGUAGAGGGGGGUAGAAUUCCGGGUGUAGCGGUGAAAUGCGUAGAGAUCUGGAGGAAUACCGGUGGCGAAGGCGGCCCCCUGGACGAAGACUGACGCUCAGGUGCGAAAGCGUGGCGAGCAAACAGGAUUAGAUACCCUGSUAGUCCACGCCGUAAACGAUGUCGACUUGGAGGUUGUGCCCUUGAGGCGUGGCUUCCGGAGCUAACGCGUUAAGUCGACCGCCUGGGGAGUACGGCCGCAAGGUUAAAACUCAAAUGAAUUGACGGGGGCCCGCACAAGCGGUGGAGCAUGUGGUUUAAUUCGAUGCAACGCGAAGAACCUUACCUGGUCUUGACAUCCACGGAAGUUUUCAGAGAUGAGAAUGUGCCUUCGGGAACCGUGAGACAGGUGCUGCAUGGCUGUCGUCAGCUCGUGUUGUGAAAUGUUGGGUUAAGUCCCGCAACGAGCGCAACCCUUAUCCUUUGUUGCCAGCGGUCCGGCCGGGAACUCAAAGGAGACUGCCAGUGAUAAACUGGAGGAAGGUGGGGAUGACGUCAAGUCAUCAUGGCCCUUACGACCAGGGCUACACACGUGCUACAAUGGCGCAUACAAAGAGAAGCGACCUCGCGAGAGCAAGCGGACCUCAUAAAGUGCGUCGUAGUCCGGAUUGGAGUCUGCAACUCGACUCCAUGAAGUCGGAAUCGCUAGUAAUCGUGGAUCAGAAUGCCACGGUGAAUACGUUCCCGGGCCUUGUACACACCGCCCGUCACACCAUGGGAGUGGGUGCAAAAGAAGUAGCGUAGCUUACACCUUUGGGAGCACGCUACCAUCGGGUUCUGCCCAAAAA
rnacentral:rRNA from 1 species